GUUGUAUAGUCAAGUAAUUAAGUGCAUGUGGUGGAUGCCUUGGCAGUCAGAGGCGAUGAAAGACGUGAUAGCCUGCGAAAAGCUCCGGGGAGGCGGCAAAUAUCCUUUGAUCCGGAGAUGUCUGAAUGGGGGAACCCACCUACUUUAAGGUAGGUAUUGCAACAUGAAUACAUAGUGUUGCAAGGCGAACGAGGGGAAGUGAAACAUCUCAGUACCCUUAGGAAAAGAAAUCAAUUGAGAUUCCCUCAGUAGCGGCGAGCGAACGGGGAUCAGCCCAUUAAGUUAUGUGUGUUUUAGUGGAACGCUCUGGGAAGUGCGAACGUAGAGGGUGAUAUUCCCGUACACGAAAGGGCACACAUAAUGAUGACGAGUAGGGCGAGGCACGUGAAACCUUGUCUGAAUAUGGGGGGACCAUCCUCCAAGGCUAAAUACUCCUGACUGACCGAUAGUGAACCAGUACCGUGAGGGAAAGGCGAAAAGAACCCCUGUGAGGGGAGUGAAAUAGAUCCUGAAACCGCAUGCAUACAAGCAGUGGGAGCACCUUCGUGGUGUGACUGCGUACCUUUUGUAUAAUGGGUCAGCGACUUAUAUUCAGUAGCAAGGUUAACCGUAUAGGGGAGCCGUAGAGAAAUCGAGUCUUAAUAGGGCGUUUAGUUGCUGGGUAUAGACCCGAAACCAGGCGAUCUAUCCAUGAGCAGGUUGAAGGUUGGGUAACACUAACUGGAGGACCGAACCCACUGUCGUUGAAAAGCCAGGGGAUGACUUGUGGAUAGGGGUGAAAGGCUAAUCAAGCCUGGUGAUAGCUGGUUCUCCCCGAAAGCUAUUUAGGUAGCGCCUCGGACGAAUACCAUAGGGGGUAGAGCACUGUUUCGGCUAGGGGGUCAUCCCGACUUACCAAACCGAUGCAAACUCCGAAUACCUAUGAGUACUAUCCGGGAGACAGACUGCGGGUGCUAACGUCCGUAGUCAAGAGGAAAACAAUCCAGACCGCCAGCUAAGGCCCCAAAAUCAUAGUUAAGUGGGAAACGAUGUGGGAAGGCAUAGACAGCUAGGAGGUUGGCUUANNNNNNNNNNNNNNNNNNNNNNNNNNNNNNNNNNNNNNNNNNNNNNNNNNNNNNGAAGCAGCCACCCUUUAAAGAAAGCGUAAUAGCUCACUAGUCGAGUCGGCCUGCGCGGAAGAUGUAACGGGGCUAAAACUAUGUGCCGAAGCUGCGGAUGUAUACUUUGUAUACGUGGUAGGGGAGCGUUCUGUAAGCCGAUGAAGGUGUGUUGAGAAGCAUGCUGGAGGUAUCAGAAGUGCGAAUGCUGACGUGAGUAACGACAAAACGGGUGAAAAACCCGUUCGCCGAAAGACCAAGGGUUCCAGUCCAACGUUAA
rnacentral:rRNA from 1 species